rnacentral:lncRNA from 1 species
CCGCGUCUAUGAAGGAGCAGAAGGUUAGCUCGCCCCGUUACUCUCAAAGCAAGAAUCAUCAACAGCCUCUUGUCAUCAAAGUCGUUGAAUCAACUACAUAUGGUGCUGAAUUGAUCUUAAAUCUGUACUCCUUGUCUAUCUGCUAACAGCGCCUGACACUGCUCUGUAGACGGCCCUUGUUUUGUUGUGGGCAACGAGAACGAUUCAUCCCCUCUCUCCCAUGUUCUUCUUCUCCUCUGUUCCUCUGUUCAUGUUUCUCCUGGCCUACUUGCUGCCAACAGAGAAAUCUGCUGGUAAUUUACUAGAGUAUUUCUGAUUUUGCAUUGUUUCUCGGCCUUUUACCAUAACAUAAGAGCGUUUUUGACGGGGGGAAUAUAAUAUAUAUUUUCUAAAAGAUGGGUCACCAGACAUAAAAUGGUUCGGUCCGUAGAGUAUCAAUAUGUAAAUUUAUCUCCGAGUAAAAUAGAAAUGCCCAUGUCUGAUGCUGGUUAAAACAUGUGUACAAUUAUUGUAGGUGCUGCGCCUCUUGCUGUCUUUGGAUAUCUUCUGGCAACACAUCUCUCUCUUUAUCCUAUAAUUAUCAUUCUGCCUGCAUGUGCCACAACUGAUUUUCUUUUUAGUUCAAAUGUUCAGCCAUACAUGCAUGCUCAGCCUUGCUUUGAAUAUCGUCAUUAAAUUUGAUGAAUGAAGAAUAUGUUAGCGUGUGUUUAGCUCUCAUCUAGAUAAGAAAUAAGUGUCUCAUCUAACUCCUAAACUGUUGGAAUUUAUGCGGAGAUUCGUAGGGAUUUUUUUCAUUAUUAAUCAAGUAGUGUAGGAGUUAGAUGAGGCUUGAGAAUUAGCAAUUCCGUAUUUUGAAUUUGUUGAUAUAUUUUUCUACUGUGCAAGCCUUGCUCUAGUGAUUCGCACAAUUAAUAAUGGAGUACAGACUUCAUAUGGAUUGCACAUUUAGUACAAUCAUUAUGCCUUCUGAACUCAUAUUUCCAUGUUUUCUUCUCUGCAUAUGAUGUUUCUCUCGACCACUUGCAUCGUAUCAUUGUGAAUAUGAAUAUGUUAUUAUAACCCUGGUGCUAAACUUGACAAAACUGCUACAAUAUUGUUCAGAAGUGACAUUCACAAGAGGCUCUGCAUCAUCACAAAUUAAAGGGAGGCCACCAUCAUUGGGCACAAGAACCAGCAUAGUAGACGACCACCAUCAAGCAUUAUGUUUUACAUAGUUUUCAUCCUCAGUGGUAUAAUGAAGCUUCAUCAGCAGGAGCAUCAGGCCACCUUUUCCCACCAAGGUCUAUG